AGCACGUGCUGAGUCAUCCGCUACUUCUUUAAAAUCAAAAGUAUCUCAUAUCAUCAGGGUGGCAAUCAUUUUGGACGGUGAAUUCAUUUUGACCCUCAAAUUCUUGGGUCGGCUUACUAGGCGUUGUGAGCUGCACGUGUCGAUUCACCACCCUUGAAUCAAAUCCUUAAAGAUCAAGUCACCAACUAGAAGAAUAGCCCAUCAAUCUUGAAGAUCAUACCGUUGACCAAACUGCUCAGGUGUGAAUUAGAAAGAUUGAACAAAGCAACAAGUCGUCACCCUCACCUCGUGC
rnacentral:lncRNA from 1 species